CUUUCCUUUUCUUUCCUUAUUUUUCUUUCUUUCCUCCCCUUUCCUUUUCUUUCCUUCUUUUUCUUUCUUUCCUCUCAUUUCCUUUUCCUUCUUUUUCUUUCUUCCUUUCUUUCUUCUUCUUCCCCUCUCCUUCUUCCCCCCACCAACCGACCACCCUUAAAUUCAAGGGUGGUGCCGCCAACCUGCUUCCCUCCACCCAGGGAGUUGUCAAAUCAGUUCAGGUUUUUUUUUCUGUUUUUUAUUUUUUUUUCUGUUUUUUUGUUUUUUUGAUAUAUUUUGGUAAAUAAAAAAAUUAUAUAUAUUUUGGUAAAUAAAAAAAAGUUAUAACAUUUUGGUAAUUUUUUAUUUUUUUAUAUUAUUUUUGUAAAAAAAACCCGUUAAGUAGCUUAUAAAAAAAACCCAAAUCAAAAUAUUUAC
rnacentral:lncRNA from 1 species